AGUAUCCAUUGGAGGGCAAGUCUGGUGCCAGCAGCCGCGGUAAUUCCAGCUCCAAUAGCGUAUAUUAAAGUUGUUGCGGUUAAAAAGCUCGUAGUUGGAUUUGUGUCCCACGCUGUCGGUUCAUCGCUCGUCGGUGUCUAACUGGCAUGAUACGUGGGACGUCCUGCCGGUGGUGGCGAGUCGGAGGCGUGCACCCGCCGCGGUUCCACUGCGUGCGGUUCUUGUGCGCCCGAGGCGGACCCCGAUGAAAUCCUACCGCGGUGCUCUUCGCCGAGUGUCGAGGUGGGCCGGCACGUUUACUUUGAACAAAUUAGAGUGCUUAAAGCAGGCCUGUUGCGCCUGAAUACUGUGUGCAUGGAAUAAUGGAAUAGGACCUCGGUUCUAUUUUGUUGGUUUUCGGAACCAGAGGUAAUGAUUAAUAGGGACAGGCGGGGGCAUUCGUAUUGCGACGUUAGAGGUGAAAUUCUUGGAUCGUCGCAAGACGGACCGAAGCGAAAGCAUUUGCCAAGUAUGUUUUCAUUAAUCAAGAACGAAAGUUAGAGGUUCGAAGGCGAUCAGAUACCGCCCUAGUUCUAACCAUAAACGAUGCCAGCUAGCGAUCCGCCGAAGUUCCUCCGAUGACUCGGCGGGCAGCUCCCGGGAAACCAAAGCUUUUGGGUUCCGGGGGAAGUAUGGUUGCAAAGCUGAAACUUAAAGGAAUUGACGGAAGGGCACCACCAGGAGUGGAGCCUGCGGCUUAAUUUGACUCAACACGGGAAACCUCACCAGGCCCGGACACCGGAAGGAUUGACAAAUUGAGAGAUCUUUCUGAUUCGGUG
rnacentral:rRNA from 1 species